rnacentral:rRNA from 1 species
GAAAGGAAGAUUAAUACAAGAUGGCAUCAUGAGUCCGCAUGUUCACAUGAUUAAAGGUAUUCCGGUAGACGAUGGGGAUGCGUUCCAUUAGAUAGUAGGCGGGGUAACGGCCCACCUAGUCUUCGAUGGAUAGGGGUUCUGAGAGGAAGGUCCCCCACAUUGGAACUGAGACACGGUCCAAACUCCUACGGGAGGCAGCAGUGAGGAAUAUUGGUCAAUGGGCGAGAGCCUGAACCAGCCAAGUAGCGUGAAGGAUGACUGCCCUAUGGGUUGUAAACUUCUUUUAUAAAGGAAUAAAGUCGGGUAUGUAUACCCGUUUGCAUGUACUUUAUGAAUAAGGAUCGGCUAACUCCGUGCCAGCAGCCGCGGUAAUACGGAGGAUCCGAGCGUUAUCCGGAUUUAUUGGGUUUAAAGGGAGCGUAGAUGGAUGUUUAAGUCAGUUGUGAAAGUUUGCGGCUCAACCGUAAAAUUGCAGUUGAUACUGGAUAUCUUGAGUGCAGUUGAGGCAGGCGGAAUUCGUGGUGUAGCGGUGAAAUGCUUAGAUAUCACGAAGAACUCCGAUUGCGAAGGCAGCCUGCUAAGCUGCAACUGACAUUGAGGCUCGAAAGUGUGGGUAUCAAACAGGAUUAGAUACCCUGGUAGUCCACACGGUAAACGAUGAAUACUCGCUGUUUGCGAUAUACUGCAAGCGGCCAAGCGAAAGCGUUAAGUAUUCCACCUGGGGAGUACGCCGGCAACGGUGAAACUCAAAGGAAUUGACGGGGGCCCGCACAAGCGGAGGAACAUGUGGUUUAAUUCGAUGAUACGCGAGGAACCUUACCCGGGCUUAAAUUGCAGAUGAAUUACGGUGAAAGCCGUAAGCCGCAAGGCAUCUGUGAAGGUGCUGCAUGGUUGUCGUCAGCUCGUGCCGUGAGGUGUCGGCUUAAGUGCCAUAACGAGCGCAACCCUUGUUGUCAGUUACUAACAGGUUCCGCUGAGGACUCUGACAAGACUGCCAUCGUAAGAUGUGAGGAAGGUGGGGAUGACGUCAAAUCAGCACGGCCCUUACGUCCGGGGCUACACACGUGUUACAAUGGGGGGUACAGAGGGCCGCUACCACGCGAGUGGAUGCCAAUCCCCAAAACCUCUCUCAGUUCGGACUGGAGUCUGCAACCCGACUCCACGAAGCUGGAUUCGCUAGUAAUCGCGCAUCAGCCACGGCGCGGUGAAUACGUUCCCGGGCCUUGUACACACCGCCCGUCAAGCCAUGGGAGCCGGGGGUACCUGAAGUGCGUAACCGCGAGGAGCGCCCUAGGGUAAAACUGGUGACUGGGGCUAAGUCGUAACAAGGUAGCCGUACCGGAAGGUGCGGCUGGAACACCUCCUU